UCUAAAAAGAAGAUCGAGUAAAAACAUUAAAGUUAACUCUUAAUAAGACGAUUAACAAGGUUUCAAUAAUGUCACACAGAAUCUUAGAAAAGAGUUAAGUCAUUGUUUUUUCUAGGUAAAAUAAAAUUCACCAUGUUUGAAUUUCAGAAAAAAUAUAUAUAUGUACAUGUUUCUAUGCAUCAGGAAUUCACAUAUUUGUUAUUUCCAUGGUAAACAAUGAUUGUAUUUUAAAGAUUGUUUUCUUUGAACCCGGAUCCAAUACACAGAGAUCCUUGGACCGAAGAAUAUAUGAUACUGAUUUCGAUUACGAAUAUACUCGAUGCCCUCUUCAAUGGCAUAACAAUAUAAUGAUAAUAAUAUAAUAAGUGAUAAAGUACAACCAUGGAAUAUAAAAGACUUGCGCAGCUGACUCGAGUUCAGUUUAAAAGUACAAAUCAAGAUGAGAAUACUGAUUUUCCUGUUUGUCCUGCUGAUCGCUGUUGUUGUUCAGUCUAAAAAUAAUGCUAACGAUAAGCAAGGCCCAUGCGUCCUUGGUGAUUGCGACCCCUUCCCAAAAAAAUGAAAAAAAUUGAUUCAACGAAAAUUAUUUAAUUCUCUACGAAUUGGAAACCAAGCAAUCGCAAUGUGAAAACUUCCUUUUUAAGUAUUUUUGUAUCUAUUAAAACUAGUUUCUGAAGUAAA